rnacentral:rRNA from 1 species
UACGAAGGGUGCAAGCGUUACUCGGAAUUACUGGGCGUAAAGCGUGCGUAGGCGGUUUGUUAAGUCCGCUGUGAAAGCCCUGGGCUCAACCUGGGAAUUGCAGUGGAUACUGGCAAGCUAGAGUGCGGUAGAGGAUGGUGGAAUUCCCGGUGUAGCGGUGAAAUGCGUAGAGCUCGGGAAGAACAUCGGUGGCGAAAGCGCUCUACUGGACUGCAACUGACACUCAGGGACGAAAGCUAGGGGAGCGAAUGGG